AGUCAACAGCAGUAGACGCGAAACCAAGUGAUCUACCCUUGGUCAGGUUGAAGGUUGGGUAACACCAACUGGAGGACCGCACUGAUAAGCGUUGAAAAGCUUACGGAUGAACUGAGGGUAGGAGUGAAAGGCCAAUCAAACUUGGAGAUAGCUCGUACUCCCCGAAAUGCAUUUAGGUGCAGCCUCGGGCAAGAAUGGCAGAGGUAGAGCGACUGAUAAGAUGCGAGGGCUUCACCGCCUAUCAAGUCUUGACAAACUCCGAAUACUGCCAUUUGUUACCCGGGAGUGAGGGCAUGGGUGCUAAGGUCCAUGUCCGAAAGAGGAACAACUCAGACCACCAGCUAAGGUCCCGAAAUAAGGGCUAAGUUGAACAAACGAAGUAAAACUGCAGAGACAGCUAGGAUGUUGGCUUGGAAGCAGCCAUUCAUUUAAAGAGUGCGUAACAGCUCACUAGUCGAGGAGUUUUGCAUGGAUAAUAAUCGGGCAUAAGCCCUUUACCGAAGCUGUGGAUGUCGCAAGACGUGGUAGGGGAGCAUUCCGUCGGCGGCGAAGGUCAGCCUCGAGGCUGGCUGGAGCUUACGGAAAAGCAAAUGUAGGUAUAAGUAACGAUAAAGGGGGCGAGAAACCCCCUCGCCAUAAGACUAAGGAUUCCUGAUCAACGCUAAUCGGAUCAGGGUAAGUCGGGACCUAAGGCGCAGCCGAACGGCGCAGCCGAUGGAAGAAACGGUCAAGAUUCCGUUACUGGUAUAAGGAGCGACGUGGAGACGGAGAAGUGACACACCCGCCUGCUGACGGAAUAGCAGGUUAAAGGAGGUAGGUAAACGUGACCCAGGCAAAUCCGGGUCGUGUGCCGAAACUGACAGUAUCGAGAGCCCCCGGGCAAUCGAAUAGCGGUGGUAAGCAGGCUCCCGAGAAAAUCCGCUAAGCAUAUUCUUAUAUCACCCGUACUCCAAACGGACACACGUAGUCGGGUAGAAUAUACCAA
rnacentral:rRNA from 1 species